AUGUCCUUGAAGCUUCUCCGGCUGCGUACCGCCGGGCAAUGCCACUUCCUGCCGCCGCUGCUGCUGCUACAUCUCGUCCCCGCCCUCCUGCUCCUGCCGCCCUCACGCCCGGCGUUGGCGGCGGCGGCGACGGUGGUCACCCACCUGCCAGGAUUCGAUGGCCCUCUGCCCUUCAACCUUGAAACAGGAUACGUGGGCGUGGAGGAGGAGGCCGGGGCGGAGCUCUUCUACUAUUUCGUCGAGUCGGAGAGGAGCCCCGGCACGGACCCACUGCUCCUAUGGCUCACCGGCGGUCCCCGCUGCUCGGUCAUUAUGGGCCUGGCCUUUGAAAUCGGUCCUCUGAAGUUUGUGUUGGCACCGUAUAGUGGCGGUUUGCCGGAGUUGGUGUAUAACCCAUAUUCAUGGACAAAGAUGGCAAACAUACUCCUGUUGGAUUCACCGGUGGGUUCAGGUUUUUCGUUCGCUCGUGAUCCCAAAGGCUACGAUGUUGGGGACUACUCAUCAUCUUCGCAGGUCCAAACAUUUCUGAAUAAGUGGUUCACGGAUCACCCGCAAUACCUUUCAAAUCCUUUCUACAUUGGUGGAGAUUCAUAUGCUGGAAAGGUGAUUCCACUUAUUGGACAAGGCAUUUCAGAAGGAAUUGACGUGAGGCAACAACCUGUUAUCAAUCUCAAGGGAUAUAUGGUUGGCAACCCUAUAACAGAUCCAAAGUUUGAUGAAAAUUACAAAAUUCCAAGUGCUCAUGGCUUUGGGAUAAUAUCUGAUCAAAUAUAUGAGAGUGCGGUGAAGAAUUGCAAAGGAGAUUAUGUUACCCCCGUGAACAAAAUGUGUGUUGAAGUGUUGCAUACUAUCAAUAAUCUCAUUUCUGAAAUUUCAAUUGAACACAUCUUGUACAACAAGUGUGACGUAGUUGCGCCAAAGACCAUAGAUGAUGCUUCAAGAAGAAAGUUUUUGUUGGAAGAAUCUACCCAGUUAAACACGCCACCUGCUCGUCCAACUGUAGAUUGUUUUACAUAUGGUUAUUACCUAGCUUACUUUUGGAUGAACAACAACAUGACUAGAAAAGCUCUUGGGAUCAAGGAGGGAACAACCAAUGAGUGGAUACAAUGCAACAUAGGGCUCCCCUACACAUAUGAGAUACCGAGCAGUAUACCAUACCAUCUCAACCUCACUACAAGAGGUUAUCGUGCACUUGUGUACAGUGGAGACCAUGAUCUGGAGGCACCAUUUCUUGGCACACAAGCAUGGAUAAGAUCCUUGAACUUUUCGAUCGUUGAUGAAUGGAGAGCAUGGCAUCUUAGUGGGCAGGCUGCUGGAUUUACCAUAGAAUACACAAACAAUAUGACAUUUGCCACAGUGAAGGGUGCUGGUCAUACUGCUCCAGAGUACCGGCCUAAAGAAUGUUUUGCCAUGGCUCAAAGGUGGUUGGACAAUGAGCCUCUCUGA
rnacentral:rRNA from 1 species